rnacentral:rRNA from 1 species
CAGUAGCCGCGGUAAUACGAAGGGUGCAAGCGUUAAUUGGAAUUACUGGGCGUAAAGCGUGCGUAGGCGGUUUGUUAAGUCUGUUGUGAAAUCCCCGGGCUCAACCUGGGAAUGGCAAUGGAUACUGGCAAGCUAGAGUGUGUCAGAGGAUGGUGGAAUUCCCGGUGUAGCGGUGAAAUGCGUAGAGAUCGGGAGGAACAUCAGUGGCGAAGGCGGCCAUCUGGGACAACACUGACGCUGAGGCACGAAAGCGUGGGGAGCAAACAGGAUUAGAUACCCCCGUAGUCCCUGUCUCUUAUAC